GAAACGAUGAUUAAAACCUCAUAAUGCCGAAGGAACACAUGUUUCAUCGGCCAAAGAUUUAUCGGUCAGGGAUGGGCCUGCGUCUGAUUAACUAGUUGGUGAGGUAACGGCUCACCAAGGUGACGAUCAGUAGCCGACCUGAGAGGGUGAUCGGCCACAUUGGAACUGAGACACGGUCCAAACUUCUACGGAAGGCAGCAGUAGGGAAUCUUGCACAAUGGGCGAAAGCCUGAUGCAGCAACGCCGCGUGAAGGAUGAAGGCCUUCGGGUUGUAAACUUCUGUUCUUAGGGAAGAAGAAAGUGACGGUACCUAAGGAGAAAGCCCCGGCUAACUACGUGCCAGCAGCCGCGGUAAUACGUAGGGGGCAAGCGUUAUCCGGAAUUAUUGGGCGUAAAGAGUGCGUAGGUGGUUAUCUAAGCGUAAGGUUUAAGCGUGCAGCUCAACUGCAUCUCGCCUUGCGAACUGGACCACUUGAGUGCAGGAGGGGAAAGCGGAAUUCCUAGUGUAGCGGUGAAAUGCGUAGAUAUUAGGAGGAACACCAGCGGCGAAGGCGGCUUUCUGGACUGUAACUGACACUGAGGCACGAAAACGUGGGGAGCAAACAGGAUUAGAUACCCUGGUAGUCCACGCCGUAAACGAAGAGCACUAG
rnacentral:rRNA from 1 species